GGGUAGUUUGACUGGGGCGGUCUCCUCCUAAAGAGUAACGGAGGAGCACGAAGGUUGGCUAAUCCUGGUCGGACAUCAGGAGGUUAGUGCAAUGGCAUAAGCCAGCUUGACUGCGAGCGUGACGGCGCGAGCAGGUGCGAAAGCAGGUCAUAGUGAUCCGGUGGUUCUGAAUGGAAGGGCCAUCGCUCAACGGAUAAAAGGUACUCCGGGGAUAACAGGCUGAUACCGCCCAAGAGUUCAUAUCGACGGCGGUGUUUGGCACCUCGAUGUCGGCUCAUCACAUCCUGGGGCUGAAGUAGGUCCCAAGGGUAUGGCUGUUCGCCAUUUAAAGUGGUACGCGAGCUGGGUUUAGAACGUCGUGAGACAGUUCGGUCCCUAUCUGCCGUGGGCGCUGGAGAACUGAGGGGGGCUGCUCCUAGUACGAGAGGACCGGAGUGGACGCAUCACUGGUGUUCGGGUUGUCAUGCCAAUGGCACUGCCCGGUAGCUAAAUGCGGAAGAGAUAAGUGCUGAAAGCAUCUAAGCACGAAACUUGCCCCGAGAUGAGUUCUCCCUGACUCCUUGAGAGUCCUGAAGGAACGUU
rnacentral:rRNA from 1 species